rnacentral:piRNA from 1 species
UGGGAACGGUAACAGAUCAUAUUCCAAUU